GCAGUGGGGAAUAUUGCACAAUGGGGGAAACCCUGAUGCAGCCAUGCCGCGUGUGUGAAGAAGGCCUUCGGGUUGUAAAGCACUUUCAGUUGUGAGGAAAGGUUAGUAGUUAAUACCUGCUAGCUGUGACGUUAGCAACAGAAGAAGCACCGGCUAACUCCGUGCCAGCAGCCGCGGUAAUACGGAGGGUGCGAGCGUUAAUCGGAAUUACUGGGCGUAAAGCGCACGCAGGCGGAUUGUUAAGCUAGAGGUGAAAGCCCCGCGCUCAACGUGGGAAUUGCCUUUAGAACUGGCAGUCUAGAGUCUUGGAGAGGGGAGUGGAAUUCCAGGUGUAGCGGUGAAAUGCGUAGAGAUCUGGAGGAACAUCAGUGGCGAAGGCGACUCCCUGGCCAAAGACUGACGCUCAUGUGCGAAAGUGUGGGUAGCGAACAGGAUUAGAUACCCUGGUAGUCCACACCGUAACGAUGUCUACUAGCUGUUUGUAUCUUUAAGAUGUGAGUAGCGCAGCUAACGCGAUAAGUAGACCGCCUGGGGAGUACGGCCG
rnacentral:rRNA from 1 species